rnacentral:lncRNA from 1 species
GUUAGAUUUUACCCGACCUCCGUGUGUUGGUUUAUUCCGACAAAUGCGUAAAACAGAAAAGGCGGUACAAAAGUCUGUGUGAGUUAUGGCGGCCAAUAUCUCUUUUUGCACAAAGCUGACAGGCAGCUUCCUUAAGAAAGGAGCCCGAGGACAGAGUGCUUUUUCUCUUUUUCCAAUGAAUUAACACAAACACCAGCUGUCUUUUUGUUCACGUGAAAUUACUAUCUUAGGCAAAGAGACAGUACUGAAGCACAAGUGUUCUGCAAGUGACGGUUUAGGUGUCAUUUUUCAGUUGCCUAGCAACUAAUUAGAUAAAAAGAGCACGUUGUGAGGGUUUCCAUUCGCGGUUUCGAACGGCAAAAACCCAAGGGCAUAUUAAAAUGGAUUCAAGAUAGCAUAUUACCUGGGACUACAGUUUAGAAUCCGAACCUAUUUAAUUCUCGGUGUUGGAUAAAGACGAACAAAUAGCUAUUUGAGACUGACAAAUUUGAGACUGACAAAUAGGUUAAAUCGAGACGAAUUUUAGGUAUAAUUUAUCCUCCUACGGAUUGCUUGCUUUCUCACUGCUUCGGAGGCGACAGUUCACAUCUUUAACCAGCAGAGGGCGAGUCGACUAUAGUUUUCGGCCCUCAGACACUCCCUCCUGCUCGCUUUACCUCCGCUCCCGGGGAAUUAAUUUAGCAGGAGGCGUUUCAAAUAUAGAACAACCCCAGGAAGUUGUGGUUGAAGGAGAGCGGUGCACAGGACGUGGCCUAGCGCCCGACCUGCCAGCCUUGAAUGUGUGGCUGCUCUGCAUUUCUGCCAACAUGCAUCUCUUUACUCGGGACUGCAGUAGAAAUUGCAGUGUCUGUUGUAGCAGAGUGCGUGGAUGAAAAGCAACUCCAUCCUCAGAAGCCGUAGAUAUAGGGGGUCAUUGGCCUCUAAUAAAAGAAAGGACCAGAGGUAGCACAGUAAGACGACAAAUAGAAAUUAUGAAGGUUCGAAAGAUGAAAUAAGCAGUUUACUUAUUGGGGCCAAUAACUGUGAUGGAACAAGAACAAAACAAGGCUCCGCUCUGGCUUUGCUAACCUAGGAACAAAAAUUAGAGGGAGGAAGAAGAGAAAACCAGGAGGCACAGGACUACAGAGAGACCCCUUUAACCGGUGCCCAAGAGAUGAAGGCAGGAGACAAGAGACAAGGGGCAGUUGCCAUCUGAUUGGUCGUUUAGAGCUGAUGAGGAGACAGAUAGCACUUUAGCUACAGAGAAGAGAAAGAAGUGCCCUCAGGUGACAUUUUGUUUUGGGAAAAGUCUGGAAAAGUUGAUAUGGUGGAUCUCCAUAAAAGGAGUCUAAGACAUUUGUUGCUCAUUUCAAGAAAGAAAGGAGCCAGAGGCAGGAGCCAAAUUCAAGGGAAAAGGAGUCUGUAGUUGGCAGGGCUGCACAGAGACUUGCCUGGGGAGAAAGAGGAAGUGAAGAGAAGGGAAGUGGUUGUGGUUUCUUAAAAAAACCAAAAUGUUGAAUGUUUUAAGGCCAAGUGGUUACUAUAGCAACCAGGCAGCGCAAAGCAGUUGAGUGAUACAAAUCCUACCUCUAACAACAGCCUAAAGACCAAUGACAAGUCCUCCCCACCAAGACUGAGGGAGAGAUCAAGGGGGGGGCACACAAACCCCAAUAAGAGUACCCCACAGGUGCCAAAUUAGGGGCUUUCCAGCUCUGGAGCCCCCUUCUCUUCGGAAAAGAGAUUCUUUGCAAUAAAACUCGGUUUUGUUUGGCAACUUCCUUGCACUCCUUUCCUUUAUUUCCAUACUGGACUGAGAGUCUGGACCCGGGAACAUAAUAAGGUUGGUGGUUGCACCCCGGAAGUGAUACCUUCUUACAGAAUCUUUCCCACUUUAAGAUUAUAUUUAAUUAUUCAAGGAAAAGCCAGACUGUUCUCCACAGCAGCUAUACCAUUUUACACUACUGUACCACUAACCAUGCACAAGAGCUCC